rnacentral:rRNA from 1 species
GACGAACGCUGGCGGCGUGCUUAACACAUGCAAGUCGAACGGAAAGGCCCUGCUUUUGUGGGGUGCUCGAGUGGCGAACGGGUGAGUAACACGUGAGUAACCUGCCCUUGACUUUGGGAUAACUACCGGAAACUGGGGCUAAUACCGGAUAGGAGCUCCUGCUGCAUGGUGGGGGUUGGAAAGUUUCGGCGGUUGGGGAUGGACUCGCGGCUUAUCAGCUUGUUGGUGGGGUAGUGGAUUACCAAGGCUUUGACGGGUAGCCGGCCUGAGAGGGUGACCGGCCACAUGGGGACUGAGAUACGGCCCAGACUACUACGGGAGGCAGCAGUGGGGAAUAUUGCACGAUGGGCGGAAGCCUGAUGCAGCAACGCCGCGUGCUGGAUGACGGCCUUCGGGUUGUAAACCGCUUUCGCCGGUGACGAAGCGUGAGUGACGGUAAUGGGUAAAGAAGCACCGGCUAACUACGUG